UCCCCAACCCGGCGCUGCCCCUUGCCACCAUCAUACGCCGGCGCCCGCCGUUCCCUCUCCUUCCCCCACCAUCCGCCCUCUGCCGCCGCCGCCACCGAUUGCGCACGCGGCACCCCUCCACUUCACCCCACCCCCUUGCCAAUCCCUACCUCCACCGGCCUCUCCAUUACCCACCUUCACCGGAUCCUUCCAUUUUUCCCCACCGGCCCCGAGCCCAUCGGGCAAUACAGAGGCCGUGGUCCUUAGAAACGCGAAAUUGCAGAGGCCCACCCAACAACGGAGGAGGGUAUGGAUUUGAGUUUUGGAUUUGAAGAAAAAUCAAGCCCUAAUCCAUAGUCGAUUUUUGAGGACUGAAUCAGAGAAUGGUGCACCUCCUCGUCCUCGCCGUGUAUCGCCUCCCCGCUGGCAUCUGGAGGAAGAAAUGAGAAAUGAGAAAAAACCGCUGCCAAAAUCAUCGGCAAACUCGAAUCUGAAUUUCAAUCGUGGUUGUUGCAGUACGUGAUGGUGGUGGUGAAUGGAGGUGUGCCGAUUUCAUUUGGUGGGACGAAGGAGUCGGAUGGCGAAUUGAGGCGGCGGGUUGGGAAGGGGGCAGGGGCAGCGGCGCUGCUCUUCCUGUUCUCUGCUGAUGGGGAGGCGGCGGCGUGUUGGGGGAGGGGAGGUGGCGGCGGAAGGGCGGCGCCUGUGGUGGUGGCAGGGGGGAGGCGGCGGCGGGUUUGGGGAGGGAAAUUAGGGUUUGAGAUUGGGGGUUUGGAGAAGAUGAUAAUGAUGUGGAUUUUUUUUCCACAUGUCAUAAUAUGCUUAGGUGUCAAUUUCCGGCUGCCAUCGUGUCGUUUCCGGCGCCGGGAUAAGAAAAAAAUCGUUCAUCGGACAAAAACGAGACAAAAACAAAAGGUUAUGUAUUUAAAAGCAGAUUUUCCAAAUUAGGAGCAAAAACCAAUUCCGUGGAAACGUUAUGGAUUUAUAGGCAAUUAACCCUUCUAAUUUUAGCCUUUUUACUGUUUUC